rnacentral:rRNA from 1 species
UACGUAGGGUGCGAGCGUUGUCCGGAAUUAUUGGGCGUAAAGAGCUUGUAGGCGGUUUGUCGCGUCUGCUGUGAAAAUCCGGGGCUCAACCCCGGACUUGCAGUGGGUACGGGCAGACUAGAGUGUGGUAGGGGAGACUGGAAUUCCUGGUGUAGCGGUGAAAUGCGCAGAUAUCAGGAGGAACACCGGUGGCGAAGGGCGGGACUCUGGGCCGUAACUGACGCUGGAGGAGCGAAAGCAUCGGGGAGCGA